GACGAACGCUGGCGGCGUGCUUAACACAUGCAAGUCGAACGGAAAGGCCCUGCUUGCAGGGUACUCGAGUGGCGAACGGGUGAGUAACACGUGGGUGCUCUGCCCUGCACUUCGGGAUAAGCCUGGGAAACUGGGUCUAAUACCGGAUAGGAGCCAUUUUUAGUGUGAUGGUUGGAAAGUUUUUUCGGUGUAGGAUGAGCUCGCGGCCUAUCAGCUUGUUGGUGGGGUAAUGGCCUACCAAGGCGGCGACGGGUAGCCGGCCUGAGGGGGUGGACGGCCACAGUGGGACUGAGAUACGGCCCAGACGCCUACGGGAGGCAGCAGUGGGGAAUAUUGCACAAUGGGCGCAAGCCUGAUGCAGCGACGCCGCGUGGGGGAUGACGGCCUUCGGGUUGUAAACUCCUUUCGCUAGGGACGAAGCUUUUUGUGACGGUACCUAGAGAAGAAGCACCGGCUAACUACGUG
rnacentral:rRNA from 1 species